GUGCCCUUUUAAGGUUGAUGGAAUGCUUUAAGAAGCUAAUACAAAAGUGUAAGUCUCCAUAAAACCUAGAGAAGAGACUAUAAAUUUCUGUGAGGAUUCACAGCU
ensembl:snoRNA